GAUGAACGCUAGCGGCAGGCUUAAUAGAUGCAAGUCGAGGGGCAGCAUGAUUGUAGCAAUACAAUUGAUGGCGACCGGCAAACGGGUGCGGAACACGUACACAACCUCCCAAUAAGUGGGGAAUAGCCCAGAGAAAUUUGGAUUAAUACCCCGUAACAUAACGAUGUGGCAUCACAUUGUUAUUAUAGAUUUUUCGCUUAUUGAUGGGUGUGCGGCUGAUUAGAUAGUUGGCGGGGUAACGGCCAACCAAGUCUACGAUCAGUAGCUGAUGUGAGAGCAUGAUCAGCCACACGGGCACUGGGACACGGGCCCGACUCCUACGGGAGGCAGCAGUAAGGAAUAUUGGACAAUGGACGCAAGUCUGAUCCAGCCAUGCCGCGUGAAGGAUUAAGGUCCUCUGGAUUGUAAACUUCUUUUAUAAGGGACGAAAAAAGGCUUUUCUAAGUCGUCUGACGGUACCUUAUGAAUAAGCACCGGCUAACUCCGUGCCAGCCGCCGCUGUAAAAC
rnacentral:rRNA from 1 species